rnacentral:rRNA from 1 species
AAUCAACGCUGGCGGCGUGCCUCAGACAUGCAAGUCGAACGCGAAAGUUUCCUUCGGGGGAACAAGUAGAGUGGCGCACGGGUGAGUAACACGUAGGUAAUCUACCUUUGGAUGGGGAAUAACAACCGGAAACGGUUGCUAAUACCGCAUAAUGCAGCGGCACCUAAUGGUGACAGUUGUUAAAGCGGGGGAUCGAAAGACCUCGCGUCUGAAGAGGAGCCUGCGGCGGAUUAGCUAGUUGGAAGGUAAUGGCUUACCAAGGCUUCGAUCCGUAGCCGGCCUGAGAGGGCGGUCGGCCACACUGACACUGACAUACGGGUCAGACUCCUACGGGA